rnacentral:rRNA from 1 species
UACAGAGGUCUCAAGCGUUGUUCGGAUUCAUUGGGCGUAAAGGGUGCGUAGGCGGCGGUGCAAGUCCGAUGUGAAAUACCGGGGCUCAACCCCGGAACUGCAUUGGAUACUGCAUUGCUAGAGUACUGGAGAGGAGAUUGGAAUUUACGGUGUAGCAGUGAAAUGCGUAGAUAUCGUAAGGAAGACCAGUGGCGAAGGCGGAUCUCUGGACAGUUACUGACACUGAGGCACGAAGGCCAGGGGAGCAAACGGG